GCCGUUUAAGUGAGGGAGCCGAGGCAUCAAUAUAUAGCCUUGUAUGGCAUCCCUAAAAAUGCAAAAAUGGUGAACCCUGGGAACAGAUGUUCACAAUUACAUAUUGUCAAGAUAAGCACAUAUUAGUUAUAACCAAGUCCAAUGAUACUACUCGUAAGCCUAAAAGCCGUAUCCACACUUUGAGGCGUCUCAGACUUUGGUGAAGAAGAUGCAAAAAACGGCCAUGACGAUGGGAUUGAUGAAGACAGUACAUUUACUCAGCAAGAUCAAAAGCAACACAACCUGUAAAUACAACAAAUCUAACAGCAGAAAAGGUGUAAUAAAAUCACAACUAAUAUGAAACAUUUUAUAUUCAAUAACCAAAAAAGCUAGUUAAAGAGGGUUGGAGGGUGGAUAAAAUUUUCUGCUUUGACUGAUGAUGUAAAUGCGUACUAUAAUGACGUCAGCAAUUCAUGAUGUUCUCACUAAAUUUCGCGCGAAAAGUCAAUAAAGCUCAAAUUACGAAAUUUUUUUAAAAAAAAAAAGAAAAAAUAUUGUCCGUUUACUUUGAUAAAUGGAUUUAACCUUAAAUGGUGAAAUCCAAUUAAUUAUCGUCAUAUUGUGCGCAACCAGAUGACACACAUUUCGCACAAAAUUUACAUACUGCCAAAGGGCAAAGUAUUCAGGAUAUAAAGCUCUGUUAUAUAUAUAUUACAGCGCAUACACAUUUUAGGAGUUUUUCAGACGCACCUAUACAAUGAUUAAGCUAUUAGUAUUGCUGGGCCUGGUUGGUGUAAUCUGUGGGCAGUGUAACGAUUUCAACAUCCAGUACCAAUGUUUGAUGAACGCCAAUCAGAAAUUGGAUGCCUGUGAAAAAGCCUGCCCUCUUCCUCAGUAUGGCUGCAACAGAACGCAAUGUCAACUCGAUUGCCAGAAGAAGGCAUACCAACGUCUAACUUUCUGUAUCAUACACGAUUAAACUGGAGAUCUUUUGAAAAACAUGCGACAUAAUGGUCAAAAUCUACGGAUAUAAUAAAUAAUUGCGUUGUAUUUGGCAUUAAUAUUGUAAUUCGUUAUUAAGGUUCACGCCCUAGCUUGAUAGGUUUGUACAUUGUUUCGUCCUAGUAUUUGAUGUUUUUGUUUUAAUGGUACACAUUAAUAUGUGCCACAUAUUUUUUUACAUAUGUUGAGAUCAAACAUAUGUUAAACAUAUGGGUAUAUCACAUGUGGUACUUAAAUCACGUUAAACGCACGCGAGGUCACAUAUAUAUCACACAUCAUUAACCAUGUGGCACAUAUUGCAGUGUAAUUAUUAAAAUAUCUUUGUAUUCACAGUCCAUAUAUCUGUAAUAAACAGCUGUUUAGCUAUUAAAAAAAAUUACAAUUA